rnacentral:lncRNA from 1 species
GUUCUGCAGCCCAGUCAGAGCAGGAGCCGUAACCUGGAAAACUGGCCACAGUAUGAAGGUGUUGGCUGCAGAAAUGAGUAUGAGGUUGCAAGGAUUUAUGAAUUCAGGGACUGAUUUACAUCCAAAAAUGAUAAAAGGAAAUCACUGCACCAACAGAAGUUCAAACCGAAUAAAACCAAAAGUAGGGGACAUGGCAAAUUCUCUGAUCUAAGGAAAGGGGAGAAAGGUGAAAUUAAUGUGGUGGUGCUCUGAAUUUUCAUUUCAAGGAUGUUCUUCAUUCAUCAAAUACAGGAAAAAAGGUUGGUAUUUUAU